AAUACUGUUUCGUAGGUGGUGUGCCCCCCAAGGUUCGCCUACGGAAGUCCCCAGCAGCGACUUAAAAAACAAUUGCUCCGAGUCUGCCCACGGGGCGGGCAACGCAUUCAUUCUGCCCUGGGAGUGCCCGGCACCGGGCCCACCAGCAGCUUCUCCAAGCUCACAGAUCAGACGAACGCGGCCACUGUAAGUGGUUUCGAUAUGACCGGCCGCGGCUGUCACCAGCCGACGCCUUUUUGCGGAACCUGCGGAAGGAUCAU
rnacentral:rRNA from 1 species